rnacentral:snRNA from 1 species
AUACUUUUCUCAACCUUUUGGUUAAGAUAAAGUGAAAUAUUUAUUAUUAUCAGUUUAAUAUCUGAUAUAGGUGAACCAUAUGUUCACUUUAAUAUUAAUAUUAAAUUUAUUUUUUACGGGUAUCAAAUAUGAUUAUGUGCUAUCGCACGCACGUGGGUUGUACUAGUA